UUUAUCGGAGAGUUUGAUCCUGGCUCAGGACGAACGCUGGCGGCGUGCCUAAUACAUGCAAGUCGAGCGGACAGAUGGGAGCUUGCUCCCUGAUGUUAGCGGCGGACGGGUGAGUAACACGUGGGUAACCUGCCUGUAAGACUGGGAUAACUCCGGGAAACCGGGGCUAAUACCGGAUGCUUGUUUGAACCGCAUGGUUCAAACAUAAAAGGUGGCUUCGGCUACCACUUACAGAUGGACCCGCGGCGCAUUAGCUAGUUGGUGAGGUAAUGGCUCACCAAGGC
rnacentral:rRNA from 1 species